rnacentral:rRNA from 1 species
AAUGAACGCUGGCGGCAUGCCUAACACAUGCAAGUCGAACGAAGCCUUCGGGCUUAGUGGCGCACGGGUGCGUAACGCGUGGGAAUCUGCCCUUGGGUUCGGAAUAACAGUGGGAAACUACUGCUAAUACCGAAUGAUGUCGCAAGACCAAAGAUUUAUCGCCCAGGGAUGAGCCCGCGUAGGAUUAGCUAGUUGGUGUGGUAAAAGACGCACCGAGGCGACGACCUUAGCUGGUCUGAGAGGAUGAUCAGCCACACUGGGGACUGAGACACGGCCCAGACUCCUACGGGAGGCAGCAGUGGGGAAGUAUUGGACGAAAUGGGCGGAAAGACCUGAUCCAGCAAUGCCGCGUGAGUGAUGAAGG